GCCGGGUAUGGUGGCGAGCACCUAUAGUCCCAGCUACUAGGGAGGCUGAGGCAGGAGAAUCGCUUGAACCUGGGAGGUGGAGGUUGCAGUGAGCUGUGAUGGUGCCACCGCACUCUAGCCUGGUGACAGAGCGAGACUCCGUCUCAAAAAAAAAAGGUACCAUUAGGUUAAUUCUCUUUCUAACCAAUUAUUGUCGAUUUUCUGUGGAAGGCCAGACACUCAGGUUUUGACAACUUCUUUUUUAUUUUAUUUAUUUAUUUAUUUUUGAGACAGUCUCGCUCUGUCGCCAGGCUGGAGUGCAGUGGUGCAAUCUCAGCUCACUGCAACCUCUGCCUCCCGGGUUCAAGCGAUUCUCCUGCCUCAG
rnacentral:SRP_RNA from 1 species